UAUACUUUCAACAACCUUAUGCUAUGAAAUAAAAAUUAUACCUCAUGAAAAUUUUCUUGCAUCUGCAAUAUAUGGCAUGGUCAGUUGCAAUGUACAAGGACAUUAUUGUGUUCAAAUAGCAUGUUAUUCUAAUCUAUUUCAGGGAGCACUGGACUGGGAGUAAGGCACCUGAAUUUUUAGUCCCUGCUGACAUACUCUUCCUGAAUCUUGGUUUCCUCCACAGUAAAACAAAAGGUUCCGGAAGCUGGGAAGUCCAAGGUCAAGGUACCAAAGAUUUGGUGUCAGGUGAGUCCACUUUCUGGUUCACAGCUGGUACCUUCUAGCUGUGUGCUCACAUAAUGGAAGGGAUAAAGAGUCUCUCUUGGGCCUCUUUUAUUAGGGCACUAACCCCAUUCAUGAGGGUUCCACCCUAUGAUCUAAUCACUUCCCAAAGGCCCUGCCUCCUAAUAUCAUCACCUUGGGGGUUAGGAUUUUAACAUAUAAAUUUUGGGAACGCAAAACAUUCAGACAAUAGUAUUUAUAUACCAUUUAUAUUUCACACUUGUGUGUUUUAUUAGCUUAUAUUUCGUAAUACUUUUGGUGGUCAACCUAAAGUCAACACAUAAAGUUUCACUUAAACUAACAAGCUAUUAUCUUUCACAAGAAAAUUUUUUUAGAGUUUCCUUAUCUUGCAAAUUUGUGUUUCUAUUUGUUUUUUCUCUUUUUAGCCACAACAUAUUUUUGCUGUUAAUGAGUUGGGUGAAGUAUUUGGUUCCCCUCUACCCUUCCUAUUGGGUAUAGAAUUUCUUUAGAAAUUUACACUGCUGCUGUAGACAUUCACAUAAAAUAUAAGUGAAAGUGCUGUUGUUAGGUCAAACGGUAUGGAAUUUCCAUUGUUGUUGUCAAAAAAUGGCCAAAUAUUAACAGUUUCAUGAUACUUUGAUAACAGUUUCCAAUAAUUUGUUCAUUAUCAUAACAAUGUUAGUCUUUACUAUUUUUAUAACUCAGUGAUGAGAGCCAGUCCCUAAAUGAACUAGUGAAGUAGUGCAAAGAGCACACAGGGUCCUUGGUGAAAGAUAGAUUGGGGAUUGAAUUCUGCUUCUAUACUGCCAACAUUGUGACCAUGGGCAAGUUGCUGAGUUUUGUUGAGCUUCAGUGUCCUUGUUUGUAAAAUAAAAAUGAUAAUGCCUGCCUCUCAAGCUUGCUGAGAAGAAUGCCCCUGGCUCCCAGAAUAAUGUUUUAUUUUGUCUAAAAUGACUCUCAGGCUGGAUGUGGUGGCUCAGGCCUGGCCAUCAUUUUAGGGAAGCUCAGAAGGGAGGAUUGUUUGAAUACAGGAGUUUGAGACCAGCCUGAGCAAAAAAGUCCCUAAAAAACAAGUAAAAAAUUAGAUGGGUGUAGUGGUGUACAACUGUAAUUCCAGCUACUAGGGAGGCUGAGGCAAGAAGAUUGCUGAGCCCAGGUGUCUGAGGCUACAAUGAGCUGUGAUCAUGUCACUGCACUCUAUCCUGGGUGACAGAGCAAGUCCCUGUCUCUGAAAAUAAAUACAUAAAUAAAAUAACUCUCUUGAGUCCAUGAGUCUGGUACCAGACUGGAAGGGACAAAUCUUUGAGUCUCUACCUUUUCCCUGGAUUAUCUAUGCUUGUUGAUGGCUUCUUCUAUUUCCAUGUGCUGAUGACUCAUAAAUUCAGAUUUCUAGCCUCUGAUUAUUUUCUCCCAGAUUCAGACUUGUAUUUCUCCUGCUUUCUGUAUGUCUUUUCCUGAAUCUUCCACAGGCACUUUUCACUUAGCACACCUGAAAUGAUCUCAUCCUUUCUGAACUUCCUGUCUGGAAUUAAGAAUUGUCUUCAGUCCCUGCCCUUAGGGUGGAGACUGGGAGUCAUCCUAAGCCCUCUCUUCCAUGUCUACCCUCACCUAAGUCCUGUUGAGUCACCAAGUUCUGUUUUGUUUCUAAGUGACUGGGAUUUGGUAAAAAUGAGCUUAAGAUCACCCCAUAUAAUUUUUGAUUGUGUGAUAGAUCUAGGUCAUGCUCUUCUACUUCCUGCCUUCCCUUUCUCUAAACCAUACAACUGAUAUUAUUAGACAUUUUCUCAUGAAGCCCCUCCUAUCUCCAUGAUCUUUCUGCUGCUCUUUGAACCUUUUCCAGCUUUGUUAAAGCCCAUGUCUAGGACAGCCUCAAGUAUCCAGUGUAGCUAGUGCACUGUGGUAAAGAGAGGAAGAAAAUGCAGUGUCAGCGCUGGAUGGAGACUCUACUGAACAAGAGAUGUGUUAUCCUAGAUAGAAAGGGUUUGUUAUUUUUUUUUAAUUUUGAAAUAAAAUUCUGUCUGAUCGGAGAAUUCUCCAAAUUGAUAUGUAAAGUUACUACAUCCUAAUUCAAGGGGAUUACAUAGUGCUGACUUCAGUACCAGAAUGUAUUUCUUUUUUGCACAAUUAUCAUUUGUCUUUGGAAUUAAUUCCAGUAGGCAGGAGCCAGUUUUAACUCCAUGGCCUACAACCCUGGCAUUGUUAUGCGCACUAAUGUUCACAAUAGAACAAAACAGCAACCUUUUUUCCCGUUGAGAAUUUAAAAGACCUUUUUUCCCCUUGAGGAUUUUCCCAUGAGGAAGGCAGAUAGGAUGUUGGUAAGCUUGGGCUUGGGGCCAGUUAGAUCUUCUGGGUUCAAAUCUCAGUCCCACCCCCACUAGCUCUGUGCCCGGGGAAACUUGCCUAACCUUUCUGGGUCCUAUUUUCUUCACGGUACCUUCCUUGUCAAGACUUAGAAACAACGUGUGUAAAGCACCUAGCAGAGUGCCUAGGAUACAGGAGGUGCUCUGGAGUGGUUAGUGGAGACCUAGAUUAUUCAGAAUGUAAGCAGAGGGCUAACUGGUGGUCAGCCUGCCUUGCCCUGGUUUUAGGAGAGUUUCUGUUCCAAUUCCAGACCUGUGGGAUAUCGGUGGUCAAGUAAGUCUUGUACUAUAUAAUCUACUCCAGCUGCCCUGCUUCCUCCUUAAAUUAGACAGGAACCCCAGCACUUUGGGAGGCCGAGGUGGGUGGAUCACGAGGUCAGGAGAUUGAGACCAUCCUGGCUAACACCGUGAAACCCCAUCUCUACUAAAAAUACAAAAAAUUAGCCAGGCAUGAUGGCAGGCGCCUGUAGUCCCAGCGACUCGGGAGGCUGAGGCAGGAGAAUGGCGUGAACCCGGAAGGAGGAGCUUGCAGUGAGCCGACAUUGUGCCAUGCACUCCAGCCUGAGCAACAGAGCAAGAUUCCGUCUCAAAAAAUAAAUAAAUAAAUAAAUUAGGAACAACUGUAUCAACUGUAAAGAACUGGGGAGACUAGCAGUAUCUCUGCUUGGCCCAUGCUUCACACCCCAUUAAAACCCCAGUUUCUUCUUACAACCUUUGCCUUUUCUCUAGCUCUCUGUGGUCAUAACGUUCUCUGAAUUCCUAAAGCAAUAAUGCUUUUUAUCAUGAUUUACUACUUGUUCAUAUACUCUGAGGUUGUUUCACAUGUGUAAGUCUGUCUCCUCAAGCAAUUGGAAGCACCUCUGGCAAAAACUCUGGCUGUUGUAUUCCCCAAGGAGCUGGCCCCUGUGCGAAACUGGGGACAGGUGCAGUUUGACCUACUCUCCCUGUGUUCCCAGUCCCUUUUGCUACUCAUGGAUGUCUGGAAGCUCUUUCUGGAGCCUGCCAUCAGGCAUUGCCCAAGGCCAUGUCCCAUGAUCCAUCCAUACAGUGUUGUCAUCAUUCUAGCUGUGAUGUUCUGGGAGCUGUCCAGACAAGUAGUGACUAUAAGACCAAGAGAUUCUUGCAGUGUCCUGAAUGUAACACCAAUCCAACAUGCAUUGAUCUAAUGCCUACAUAGUGGCAUGAUUGUGCCAUGAUUGUGCAGGACAUACGUAGCUGAGCAAGAUAAUGGGGAGUCAGAGAAAUUAUAAAACCACCUAAUUAGUCCCAGUAAAUACAAAGAGCUAUGGGAAGGUAGAUGAGGGUGCAGUUAAUUCAGUCAGGGUUCAGGGUCUAAACAGGAAGUAAAAUCUGACCUGAGCCUUGAGGAGUGACUGAGGAUUUCAGCUGGGUAUAGAUAAGGGCAUUCCUGAGUAUGGGUGACCACCGUGUUAAGCAAGUGGAGUAUAAGAGUAUAUAUAUAAGGAGGCCUGGACGUAGUGGCUCACAGAUGUAAUCCCAGCACUUUGGGAGGCCGAGGCAGUCAGAUCACUUGAGGUCAGGAGUUUGAGACCAGCCUUGCCAACAUGGCGAAACCCCGUCUCUACUAAAAAUACAAAAAUUAGCUGGGUGUGGUGGCAUACCCCUGUAAUCCCAGCUACUCAGGAGGCUGAGGCAUGGGAAUCUCUUGAACCUGGGAGGCGGAGGUUGCAGUGAGCCGAGAUAGCACCACUACACUCCAGCCUGGGCAACAGAGUGAGACUCUGUCUUAAAAAAAAAAAAAAAAAAAAGAGA